UACGGAGGGAGCUAGCGUUGUUCGGAAUUACUGGGCGUAAAGCGCACGUAGGCGGCUUUGUAAGUUAGAGGUGAAAGCCUGGAGCUCAACUCCAGAACUGCCUUUGAUACUGCAUGGCUUGAAUCCAGGAGAGGUGAGUGGAAUUCCGAGUGUCGAGGUGAAAUUCGUAGAUAAUCGGAAGAACACCAGUGGCGAAGGCGGCUCACUGGACUGGUAUUGACGCUGAGGUGCGAAAGCGUGGGGAGCAAACAGG
rnacentral:rRNA from 1 species